rnacentral:rRNA from 1 species
UGGGGAAUCUUGGACAGUGGGGGCAACCCUGAUCCAGCGACGCCGCGUGGGUGAAGAAGGCCUUAGGGUUGUAAACCCCUUUCACCGGGGAGGAUGAUGACGUUACCCGGAGAAGAAGCACCGGCUAACUCCGUGCCAGCAGCCGCGGUAAGACGGAGGGUGCUUGCGUUGUUCGGAAUCACUGGGCGUAAAGGGCGCGUAGGCGGCUUGGUCAGUCAGAUGUGAAAGCCCGGGGCUCAACUCCGGAAUUGCAUUUGAUACUCCCAAGCUUGAGGACGAAAGAGGAGGGUGGAAUACCCAGUGUAGAGGUGAAAUUCGUAGAUAUUGGGUGGAACACCAGUGGCGAAAGCGGCUCUCUGGUUCGAUUCUGACGCUGAGGCGCGAAAGCGUGGGGAGCAAACAGGAUUAGAUACCCGUGUAGUCC